GAUGACCUCUGGCGGCGUGCUUAACACAUGCAAGUCGAGCGAAGCACUUAAGUCUGAUUCUUCGGAUGAAGACUUUUGUGACUGAGCGGCGGACGGGUGAGUAACGCGUGGGUAACCUGCCUCAUACGGGGGGAUAACAGUUAGAAAUGACUGCUAAUACCGCAUAAGACCACGGUACCGCAUGGUACAGUGGUAAAAACUCCGGUGGUAUGAGAUGGACCCGCGUCUGAUUAGGUAGUUGGUGGGGUAACGGCCUACCAAGCCGACGAUCAGUAGCCGACCUGAGAGGGUGACCGGCCACAUUGGGACUGAGACACGGCCCACACUCCUACGGGAGGCAGCAGUGGGGAAUAUUGCACAAUGGAGGAAACUCUGAUGCAGCGACGCCGCGUGAAGGAUGAAGUAUUUCGGUAUGUAAACUUCUAUCAGCAGGGAAGAAAAUGACGGUACCUGACUAAGAAGCCCCGGCUAACUACGUGCCAGCAGCCGCGGUAAUACGUAGGGGGCAAGCGUUAUCCGGAUUUACUGGGUGUAAAGGGAGCGUAGACGGCACGGCAAGCCAGAUGUGAAAGCCCGGGGCUCAACCCCGGGACUGCAUUUGGAACUGCUGAGCUAGAGUGUCGGAGAGGCAAGUGGAAUUCCUAGUGUAGCGGUGAAAUGCGUAGAUAUUAGGAGGAACACCAGUGGCGAAGGCGGCUUGCUGGACGAUGACUGACGUUGAGGCUCGAAAGCGUGGGGAGCAAACAGG
rnacentral:rRNA from 1 species